ACAUAUUGUUAUGCAAAUGUAUGAACGUUUUAAUUUAAUAGUACAAUUUUCUUUGUAUGGAUUAAUAUUCAAUUCGCUAUGAGUGAACUUUCUAUUUUUAUGGAGCAUUGUCGAAUUUAUCAUUUUGAUCCAUUUUUAUCUUUUUCUUAUUAGAACAUUCCUUGUUUCAUCAGUACGCGGAACCUUAACACUUACGCAUUACUCAUGCCAUUACAUUUAAAUGCAAAAUGAUAAUAUGGUUUCAAUGGAGCGCUUUUUGAUUUUCAACGGAACAUUUUUAGUUUGUUAUGGUCGCAAACAACAUUUUGCUAAUUUUAUCUUUAUCACAAGAUAAGAUAAGGAACACAGUAUCGACACUUUCUCUGCACUUGCUUAGUUCUUUGAUUGGCUUCGAUUCGAACAGCUGUGUUAUUGGUAGAAGUAACAGAAUUAUUUCACGAAAUGUCGAAUUUGAAUACAACCAAUAACGCAAAUCGCGUAAGUCGCCGUGUAACAACGACAUCCGUUACGCGCACACAUUCGAUUUGUACUACUUCCGAAAGCAGCUUCAGCAGAAAUAGUUCCGUAAACCGUUCGCUGCAACCAACAACGUCAUGGUACUCGCCUGCGGGAAAUGUGCGAGCUCCGCCUGGAAGAAAUCAGAUGUUGACGAAUGGUUCCAUUGGAGAUGCUAAGCGAUUUAGUUACAAUCCUUCUGGCAGUUCUGCAAGUUUUGUUCCGAAUGACUCAUUCGGAAACGCAAGCGGUAUUUCAUCUCCAAGCUCCACAUCACCACCUGUGAUUCCCACACCACGGUCCUCGAAUUGCGAACUGGAGCGAUACGACCUUAGUAAGCCAGCAUGCGUUGCAAUAUUUCAUCACGAAUUUAAAAACAAUCCAGCAAUGUUUCGAGAAGGGAGUAAGCGUGAUUAUGAAUUACUGUUAAAUUUCUUUGGAGAACUUAAUGCAAACGUCAAAUACAGAUGUGAGGACUACAAGGCUAAAAAGGUUAAAGAAACUGUAAAGAAAAUUCGAAACAAGAAUUUUGACAAAUAUUCUUGCUUGAUCGUCAUCAUCAUGAGCCAUGGAGAAGCUAAGGACCAAAUCUGGGCACUAGACAAAUGCUACAACUUAGAAGCCGAUGUAGUCGACCGGAUUCGCGAGAAUAGAUCGUUGCGAGCGAAACCGAAACUUUUCAUCGUGCAGGCCUGUAAAGGUGAAGCUAUGAUGGAGCCUGAUUAUACUCCAACAGCACCCAGCGCAAUGAACAUAAUGAAAUGCUAUAGCACUUAUGACGUUUCGUUACAGGUACCGUAUCAUUUAGAGAUACCAAUGAAGGAUCGUUUUUCAUUCAGACUUUGAUUAAACUUAUAAAAGAAAACCCAUUAAAGGAUAUAAGUCACGUUUUAGUCUUGUUGAGGAAUAAAUUCAUCACCGGAAGAAUUAUGCAGGCUCCAACUGACACAUCGACCUUAACAAAGGCGUUCUACUUCGCAGAUUUGAAGAAACCCUAACCAGACGUAAAAAAAGAUCCUCAAUGCAUGCAUGACAUUGGAGGUCUUGUUGCAAAUGGCAAAGUAUUCUUCGACGAACACGUAUAGUAGAAAAUUGACUUACUGUACACCUAAGUGGCAUGAUACAUGAAUGAGAUUUUGAAAACAAAUGUAGGCAAAUUUGUCAGCAUGUGAUUUUAGUGAAGUAAUACUCAAUACAAUACAUUUUGAUAUUAUUUAGGUUUGAUGACGGCGAUGGUAUAAUGAAGUGACAGAGAGAAUUUACAAGAGCACAAAUCCAGAGAACCAAAUGAUUGCAUGUAUUUGGCAUUAGGGUCCUUUUUGACCCAAACCGUACACUACGUCAGCGAGCUGCUGCCAACGUGAUGCAAAAGGAAGUUUAGAAGAUGAUUGAAUGUUUUCUUGCCAGUCGGUGAUCAAUCAAUCAAGAUAUUAGGGCUACUCGUCAAAUAAUUAUUGAGAUUUAUGCUCUUCAAAAUUCGAGCUUCAUCUUCGUUACUGAAAUGUAUUGAAAUAACUUCAUGAGAUUUUGGAUCCUCUAGCGUAGUGAUACACUUUAUUACACGAAAUGGUACCAAAUUAGUGACUGAUUGAGAUUUUCAUGACUUUUUUUCUAAUGAGACAAUUUACGUGUAGUUUUUUUUAUUUGUUUUUUUUCUGUCUAUUCUGGUUUUUUUUAAAUUUUCGAAAACGAUAUUGUUGUCUAUUUUGUACUCCUUAAAUUAGUAAGCAAAAUAAAGUUCCAGGAACCAA